AUCUCUUCGGAGACAUCUGAUAAAAUUGGAACGAUACAGAGAAGAUUAGCAUGGCCCCUGCGCAAGGAUGACACGCACAAAUCAAGAAAGUGCACAAAACAGAAUUUG
rnacentral:snRNA from 1 species